rnacentral:lncRNA from 12 species
UUAAAAGCUCUGGUGGCCUCUGAGCUUUGGUUCAGUUCUUUGUCCUUGCUGUCUGCCAAGCUUUGUCCUCCACACUGCCCUUCCUGCAGACAGUGCCACUGGCCUGGGGCUGCUCCUGGUGCUGCCAAGGAGAUGGGCCCUGACUUGGGAGAGGAGCUUUGCCAACCUUCUGUGCCUUUGCAAACUUCCCUGAAGCAUCUGCUUUGUUUCUGGUGCUGGGCUGCCCUGAAUGGUCCUUUUGUGUGCUCUGCCCAUGGCUCCAGGCAGCUCUGGAGGAGCCCGAGAUAAAUGUGACAGCUCCUGCUCUGGAGAAUCCCCUGGACACUGCAGCGUCCCUGCAGAGUCACUCCCAUGUUUGUGCUGUGUUUAUAUUGCUGUGUCAGGCCCAGCUCUUAUCGUGUAACCAGAGAGGGGCUGGGGGAGCGGGGACAGCUCUGCUGAGCUCUGCUCUGGGGGUCAGCUGUGGGGACAGGGAUGGGACCAGCGCUUUGUCACCGAGCUGCUCACCCUGAGCAGUGCUCGUCCCCUCCGUUAUCCUGGACGCCACUGGGACCCUCUGCAAACCUCCCAGCUCAGGGCCAGCAGGUGCUUUGGCCCUGCCAAGCUUCCUCCUGCUGCUCUCCCGAGUUCCAGCAUCCCCCUGAGCUGCUGCUGCUGCUCACAGUCCCUGUGUGCUCAGAGCUUGCAGAGUUUGGAGCCAGGGUUUUCUGUCUGAGCCACCC